rnacentral:hammerhead_ribozyme from 1 species
AUCCAGCUGACGAGUUAGCCUCAAAUAGGACGAAAUGCGCAUCCUGGAU